rnacentral:rRNA from 1 species
UAAAGUCUAAUCUGCCCACUGAUUUUUAAAGGGCCGCAGUAUUUUGACUGUGCUAAGGUAGCAUAAUAAUUAGUUUUUUAAUUGAAAGCUGGAAUGAAUGAUUGGACGAGAAAAUAGCUGUCUCAAUUUAAUUGUAAAAGAACUUUAUUUUUAAGUUAAAAAGCUUAAAUAAAUUUAAAAGACGAGAAGACCCUAUAGAGUUUAAUAAUUUUAUUAUUUUAAAAUGUAUAGAAUUUUUAUUUUUUUUUAAUAAAAUUAUUUUAUUGGGGUGAUAUAAAAAUUUAAUAAACUUUUUAUAAAUUUAAACAUUAAUUUAUGAUUAACUGAUCCAAUAUUUUUGAUUAUAAGAUUAAAUUACCUUAGGGAUAACAGCGUAAUUUUUUUUAAGAGUUCUAAUCGAAAUAAAAGAUUGCGACCUCGAUGUUGGAUUAAAAUUAAUUUUUGGUGUAGAAGCUAAGAAUUUUAGGUCUGUUCGACCUUUAAUAUUUUACAUGAUCUGAGUUUAAACCGGUGUGAGCCAGGUUGGUUUCUAUCUUUAAAAAUUAUAUUAUAUUUUAGUACGAAAGGACCAAAUAUAAGUAUAUUAUAUUUUAAUAGAAUAAAU